CCUGGUGGCUUAGACGGUAAAGCGUCUGCCUACAAUGCUGGAGGCCUGGGUUCAAUCCCUGGGUCAGGA
rnacentral:tRNA from 1 species